CAGCAGCCACGGGAAUACGUAGGGUGCGAGCGUUAAUCGGAAUUACUGGGCGUAAAGCGUGCGCAGGCGGUUAUAUAAGACAGAUGUGAAAUCCCCGGGCUCAGCCUGGGACCUGCAUUUGUGACUGUAUAGCUAGAGUACGGUAGAGGGGGAUGGAAUUCCGCGUGUAGCAGUGAAAUGCGUAGAUAUGCGGAGGAACACCGAUGGCGAAGGCAAUCCCCUGGACCUGUACUGACGCUCAUGCACGAAAGCGUGGGGAGCAAACAGGAUUAGAUACCCCCGUAGUCCCUGUCUCUUAUAC
rnacentral:rRNA from 1 species